rnacentral:rRNA from 1 species
UACGUAGGAGGCAAGCGUUAUCCGGAAUGACUGGGCGUAAAGGGUGCGUAGGUGGUUUGACAAGUUGGUAGCGUAACUCCGGGGCUCAACCUCGGCACUACUACCAAAACUGUUGGACUUGAGUGCAGGAGGGGCAAAUGGAAUUCCUAGUGUAGCGGUGGAAUGCGUAGAUAUUAGGAGGAACACCAGUGGCGAAGGCGAUUUGCUGGACUGUAACUGACACUGAGGCACGAAAGCGUGGGGAGCAAACAGG